AUUGAACGCUGGCGGCAGGCCUAACACAUGCAAGUCGAGCGGAGCGGCGGACGGGUGAGUAAUGCCUAGGAAUCUGCCUGGUACUGGGGGAUAACGUCCGGUAACGGGCGCUAAUACCGCAUACUAUCAGUUGAGCCUAGGUCGGAUUAGCUAGGUGGUGGGGUAAAGGGCUACCAAGGGGACGAUCCGUAACUGGUCUGAGAGGAUGAUAAGUCAAACGGGAACUGAGGCACGGUCCAGAGUGAUAGGGGAGGAAGGAGGGGGGAAUAUGGGAAAAUGGGAGAAAGGGUGAACGAGCGAUGCAGCGUGUGUGAAGAAGGUCGGAGGAAUGUAAAGCACGAAAAGUUGGGAGGCGGUAACAACAGAAUAAGCACCGGCUAACUACGUGCCAGCCGCCGCGGUAAUUC
rnacentral:rRNA from 1 species